GGGCCUGUAGCUCGGAGGAUUAGAGCACGUGGCUACGAACCACUGUGUUGUGGGUUCAAAUAUCCCUCCUCGCCCA
rnacentral:tRNA from 2 species